rnacentral:rRNA from 1 species
GUGGGGAAUAUUGCACAAUGGGCGCAAGCCUGAUGCAGCAACGCCGCGUGAGGGAUGACGGCCUUCGGGUUGUAAACCUCUUUUAGUAGGGAAGAAGCGUAAGUGACGGUACCUGCAGAAAAAGCACCGGCUAACUACGUGCCAGCAGCCGCGGUAAUACGUAGGGUGCAAGCGUUGUCCGGAAUUAUUGGGCGUAAAGAGCUCGUAGGCGGCUUGUCGCGUCUGCCGUGAAAACCCAGGGCUCAACUCUGGGCGUGCGGUGGGUACGGGCAGGCUAGAGUGCGGUAGGGGAGAUUGGAAUUCCUGGUGUAGCGGUGGAAUGCGCAGAUAUCAGGAGGAACACCGAUGGCGAAGGCAGAUCUCUGGGCUGUAACUGACGCUGAGGAGCGAAAGCAUGGGGAGCGAACAGGAUUAGAAACCCUAGUAGUCC